GCUAGCGGCAGGCCUAAUACAUGCAAGUCGGACGGGAUCCAUCGGAGAGCUUGCUCGAAGAUGGUGAGAGUGGCGCACGGGUGCGUAACGCGUGAGCAACCUACCUCUAUCAGGGGGAUAGCCUCUCGAAAGAGAGAUUAACACCGCAUAAUAUCAACAGUUCGCAUGUUCAGUUGAUUAAAUAUUUAUAGGAUAGAGAUGGGCUCGCGUGACAUUAGCUAGUUGGUAGGGUAACGGCUUACCAAGGCGGCGAUGUCUAGGGGCUCUGAGAGGAGAAUCCCCCACACUGGUACUGAGACACGGACCAGACUCCUACGGGAGGCAGCAGUAAGGAAUAUUGGUCAAUGGGCGGAAGCCUGAACCAGCCAUGCCGCGUGCAGGAUGACUGCCCUAUGGGUUGUAAACUGCUUUUGUCCAGGAAUAAACCUAGAUACGUGUAUCUAGCUGAAUGUACUGGAAGAAUAAGGAUCGGCUAACUCCGUGCCAGCAGCCGCGGUAAUAUGGAGGAUCCGAGCGUUAUCCGGAUUUAUUGGGUUUAAAGGGUGCGUAGGCGGCCUAUUAAGUCAGGGGUGAAAUACGGUGGCUCAACCAUCGCAGUGCCUUUGAUACUGAUGGGCUUGAAUCCAUUUGAAGUGGGCGGAAUAAGACAAGUAGCGGUGAAAUGCAUAGAUAUGUCUUAGAACUCCGAUUGCGAAGGCAGCUCACUAAGCUGGUAUUGACGCUGAUGCACGAAAGCGUGGGGAUCGAACAGGAUUAGAUACCCUGGUAGUCCACGCCCUAAACGAUGAUAACUCGAUGUUGGCGAUAGACAGCCAGCGUCCAAGCGAAAGCGUUAAGUUAUCCACCUGGGGAGUACGCCCGCAAGGGUGAAACUCAAAUGAAUUGACGG
rnacentral:rRNA from 1 species